rnacentral:snRNA from 1 species
GUGCUCGCUUCGGCAGUAAAUAUACUAAAAUUAGGACGAUACAGAGAAGAUUAUCAUGACCCCUACACAAGGAUGACAUGAAAAUUCAUGAAAUGUUUCAUUUUUUA